GCUUUGCUAGCUUAAUCGGUAGAGCGUGAGAAUUUUACACCCGAAGCAAGUUUGUCGAAAUAUAAUUUCAAGGUUGCGGGCUCGAUCCUCGCGUGAGACU